rfam:Luteipulveratus mongoliensis strain MN07-A0370 genome.
GGUCAAGAGUUCCAGCGACAAGCCCUGGCUUGCUGGGCGGCAACCCUCACGGAUGUGGCGGGGUGCUCCAGGUGACGACCGGGCGCGACCACCCCUCGCGCAAGCACUCCAC